rnacentral:rRNA from 1 species
UCGAGCGAAGCACUUUGUUUUGAAUCUUCGGAGGAAGAACGAAGUGACUGAGCGGCGGACGGGUGAGUAACGCGUGGGCAACCUGCCUCAUACAGGGGGAUAACAGUUAGAAAUGACUGCUAAUACCGCAUAAGACCACAGUACUGCAUGGUACAGUGGUAAAAACUCCGGUGGUAUGAGAUGGGCCCGCGUCUGAUUAGCUGGUUGGUGAGGUAACGGCUCACCAAGGCAACGAUCAGUAGCCGACCUGAGAGGGUGACCGGCCACAUUGGGACUGAGACACGGCCCAAACUCCUACGGGAGGCAGCAGUGGGGAAUAUUGCACAAUGGGGGAAACCCUGAUGCAGCGACGCCGCGUGAGCGAUGAAGUAUUUCGGUAUGUAAAGCUCUAUCAGCAGGGAAGAAAAUGACGGUACCUGACUAAGAAGCCCCGGCUAACUACGUGCCAGCAGCCGCGGUAAUACGUAGGGGGCAAGCGUUAUCCGGAUUUACUGGGUGUAAAGGGAGCGUAGACGGCGAUGCAAGCCAGAUGUGAAAGCCCGGGGCUCAACCCCGGGACUGCAUUUGGAACUGUAUAGCUAGAGUGUCGGAGAGGCAGGCGGAAUUCCUAGUGUAGCGGUGAAAUGCGUAGAUAUUAGGAGGAACACCAGUGGCGAAGGCGGCCUGCUGGACGAUGACUGACGUUGAGGCUCGAAAGCGUGGGGAGCAAACAGGAUUAGAUACCCUGGUAGUCCACGCCGUAAACGAUGACUACUAGGUGUCGGGCAGCAAAGCUGUUCGGUGCCGCAGCCAACGCAAUAAGUAGUCCACCUGGGGAGUACGUUUCGCAGAAUGAAACUCAAA